rnacentral:tRNA from 1 species
GAGAGAGGCUCGCAGCAACGAAAACUGCUAACUUUCACGACCCAGGUUGAACUCCUGGGCUCACUCG